AACGAACGCUGGCGGCAUGCCUAACACAUGCAAGUCGAACGAGACCUUCGUGUCUAGUGGCGCACGGGUGCGUAACGCGUGGGAACCUGCCCUUAGGUUCGGAAUAACUCCCCUAAAGGGGUGCUAAUACCGGAUAAUUUCUCCGGACCAAAGAUUUAUCGCCUUUGGAUGGGCCCGCGUUGUAUUAGCUAGUUGGUAGUGUAAAAGCCUACCAAGGCGACGAUCCAUAGCUGGUCUGAGAGGAUGAUCAGCCACACUGGGACUGAGACACGGCCCAGACUCCUACGGGAAGCAGCAGUGGGGAAUAUUGGACAAUGGGCGAAAGCCUGAUCCAGCAAUGCCGCGUGAGUGAUGAAGGCCUUAGGGUUGUAAAGCUCUUUUACCCGGGAUGAUAAUGACAGUACCGGGAGAAUAAGCUCCGGCUAACUCCGUG
rnacentral:rRNA from 1 species